GCUGAUUCGCCCAGAACGAUGACACGCCCACGAAACGCCCACAAUGUUCCUACCCUCUUAUUUUCUCCUUAAUUUUUCUCGCUUGCCUAUUAUUUUGCCAGGAGGGGCGGCAAUGCCAUGCAGCAUGUAGAUUGGGACGAGUAAACAUGGCGAUGGCAGACGAAGCAGACAUGGAAUUUGUUUCGAAUAUUAAAGAACUAUUUAUGAAACAAAAUAAGAAGUUAUGAAUAUUCUGAUCUUUUAAACAUAAUUAUAAUACAUGAGUAAG